GGAAGUUUAACUUUUUGAACUAUAUUGAAUUGAUUAUGGUAAACUCCAACACCAACACAUCCAGAUGAGUCAUGCUUAGAUGCAUCACAAAAAAUAUGAUGGUGGUCUUUUUUAUUGAAAAACAUGUAAGAGUUAAAAAUGACACUUGCAUUGGGAUCACCUUUAGUUAUGUUAAUAUUUAAUUCAACUUCUGGAGAGAGAGUUAAUGCUUCAUAGGUUGCACAGAAAAACGGGAAUUUACGGUAACUAUGAAGAGGAGAAAGAGAAGAAAAUUUUUUAAAACUUUUUACCAGACAAGGAGUUGAUUUAUGACGCCAAUAAUCCAUGUUUUCACAGUAUUCAGUUAACUUUUGUAAUUUAGAAAAAAGUGGAUGUUCAGAGUAUUGAAAUAUACGGAAUAAAUAUUUAUCUGAAAGAAAUUGACGUCUCAGGUUUAAAGGAGGAUCACAGCAUUCAGCUUGAAGGGCAUUUAUUGGGCUCGAUUUCAUAGCUCCAGUAAUAAUUCUCAGCGCUUUAGAUUGAAUUAAAUCUAAUUUUCUUAACCCAGCCGCACUACACGGUUCUAAGAGAAAAGUACCAUAAUCUAAAAUACUUCUAAUAAUGGCAUUAUAGAUUAGUUUCAAAGAAUAUGGAUGGGCACCCCACCAGACACCGGAUAAACAUCUUAAUAUAUUUAGUAAUUUUUCACACUUUAGAACAACUUUUUCAAUAUGAGGAAGUCCCGAAAGUUUUGAAUCUAGAGUUAAUCCCAAAAAGAUCAUUUGUGAUUUAACUGGAAUUAAUUUAUUAUUAAAGUAAAUUGUAAUUGGAGGGGGCAUUCGCAUUCUGGAAAAAUGAACUAUAGAGCUUUUUGUUACGGACAACUCUAAGCUAUUUUUAUCUAACCAAAUUUUUAAACGCUCUAAUGCUGCUGUAAGAAUUGUACAGCAUUUCUGAACAGAACUGUCAAUGGCAUAAAAAAGAAGGUCAUCAGCAUAUUGUAAAAUGUUAAUUUUAAAUUUAAAAUCAUUGACUAUUGAAUUUUCUAAAUCAUGUGUAUAUAUAUUGUACAAAAUGGGACUUAACACUGAUCCUUGAGGAAGCCCCUUCCAAAGAACUCUUGAGUGUUUGACAUCAAUAUUAUCAAUACUAAUUGACCGUUCUGUUAAAAUAUUAAUGAUGAAAUUAAUUAAGAUGGGUGAAAUAUUUAGAGCAAUAAGUUUAUUUUUCAGUAGAGAUAUAGAGACAUUGUCAUAAGCAGCUUUGAUAUCCAGAAAGGCUGCAACAAUUGAAUUAUUUUCAGUGAAAGCUAAGCGGAUAUCAGUUGUCAGCAAACUUAAACUAUCAAGCGUACUCUUCCCUUUUCUAAAACCAUACUGACUAUUAGAUAGUAAUUCAUUAUACUCAACGAACCAUUCUAAUCGGUUUUUUGUUAAAUGUUCUGCCAAUUUUAUUAAAACUGAAGAAAGGGCUAUAGGACGAUAAGAUGCAGUAUCUGAAGGAGGUUUGUCUGGUUUGAGAAUUGCGAUUAUUUGUUGUGACUUCCAUGAUUUAGGGAUAUUACCAGAUAUCAUAAUAGAAUUAAUUAAAUCUAAAUAAUAAUUGAGGGAAAGAUUGUCAAGAUGGGUAAAGAAAGAGUAUGGAAUUCCAUCCUCACCUGGAGCAGAAUCUUUAACCUUAGAUAAUACUGCCUUAAAUUCACCUAGAGUGAAAGGAGAACCAAGUGUUGUGUUAUCUAACUGGGAAAUAUCUAAAGAGUUAAUUAACAAACCUUUUUCUGGCACAUAAGGAGGAGCCAGCCUAUCUAAAAAUGGUUCUAUAAGUGAGGGCAGAAGAACAUUUGACCUAGAAUCUCUAAAAGCACUUCUAAACCUUCUAAUAUUACUCCAGACUUUUGAAGGGUUAACAUUAGGAGAAAUUGAAGAACAAUAAUUUUGCCAUCCUGCAAGUUUCUUAUCUUUUAAGAGUUUACGAGUACUUUUAAGAAUCUCAGAGUAUUUGUUAAAAUUAUCCCAUGUGGAGUUCAGAUUGUAUGCUCUCUCAGCCUCUUUUCUUUUUUUAACUGCCACCGUACAAUCAUUAUCCCACCAUGGUGGAGAUGGGAUCCCUUUUCUUGAGUUACCUAUCUUAGGGAAAAAUUGGUCUGCAGAUUCUGUUAGUAAUGCUAUAAAAGCAUCAGAGCACUCAUUUUCAUUAUCUGUAGAUAUUACAGGAAGAGUAGGAAUUUUAUUUUUGAUAUAAUUUAAAUACAGGUCCCAGUCCACAUUAUUCAAAUUAUACUUCUUACUUGAAGUAUAAUUUGAUGUUGGUUGUAAUUUGAAAGGAAAAGUAAUUAAAAUAGGGAAGUGAUCACUACCAAAGGAUAGAGAUAAUGUGAGCCAAGUGAGAGAAGAAGCUAAAUUAGGGGUACAUAUGGAUAAAUCAGGAGCACUGUUGCCUUCAUUAGGCAUUGAGCGACGGGUAGGACAACCAGUAUUUAAUAUGCAUAGGUUGAGAGAAUCUAUCAAAUCUAAGAUUUCAUUGCCAUAGCAAUUACUAUUAGAGCUACCCCAGGAUUGGUGUUGAGCAUUAAAGUCACCUAAAACUAAAAAUGGUUUGGGAAGAGUAGAAAUAAUAUUGUUAAUUUCAUUAAAUAUUAAUAAAGAUGGAUGAGGAAUGUAUACAGAGACAACAAAUAUUAUCAACUUGAACAGCAAUUAAUGAGAAAUUAUUACUAUGGUUUAAAAUUGGAAUAUGGGUGAAGGAUGAAGGAUGUCUGACCAAUAUGGCCACACCACCAUACCCAUCAGAUCUGUCCUCACAGAGACAGGCAUAACCAGGUAUCCUAAAUGAAGAUACGGGUUUUAACCAUGUCUCCUGAAGAGCACAUAUAAGAGACUACCAUCAAUUACAUUUUUGAAAGUAUUUCUCUGAAGGAAACGACCAAAGGCUAUUGGGUGAAGUGAAGAAUUAUCAUCCAGGGAUGAUAAAACUUUUUGUAUGUGAACGGUGAAUGGAGCAGAAUCAUGAGAAUUAUCAGAAAUAUUAACAGAGCAAUCUGUGUCCAUAGAGUCCUCAUUAUUACUAAUAAUUACAUGAAGAGCGACCUCGGGGACCGUGCCCCCGGGAUCAUCCGGGGGGUCCAUAUAUUAAAAAGAAAUAUAUACAAAAACUUACCUAGUUUACAGCUACUAUUACACAAAACUAAUAUAUACAAAAUUAAACUAAUAUCAAUGCUAUUUGUAACUUAUCUGAUCGAUAUUAUAAUAAAA